rnacentral:lncRNA from 1 species
AGAGAAUCAAAACUACCUGCUGUUUCUCCACCCAGAGAGACCCCUGAUUAGUGACCUUUCUCCUAAACAGACAGAGCCUCAGAACAUCUCACAGAGGCAUGGCAUCAACUCUGUCUUAAAACUUCCCGGACAAGGGGAUCAGCCUGUCUUCUAGGGGGAAGCCAGGUUGUCCUCACAGAUUUUGGAACUUCCAGAGAAGGCAGGAGUGAGCUGUGGGGGAAGGAACGACGUUUCCUUAAGGAAUUGUUGCCAG